GGUACCGUGCUAUUCCAGUCGUGCGCUGGUGCCGCGAGCGGAGGGUGGGGUGUGCUGGACCGCGCGACGCUGACUUUGCCGCCGUCGCCGCCGGUUUUGAGUGCACGAACCAUCACAUUCCAUCGGAGCUGGUCCGCCAACCAGACUCGGCGACAGUCAAGUGCCCGUCAUAGCACGAAUGGUCUGAAGGGGACUGUGAUCGCCCCUCACCCGACAGAGCCGCUGAGCUCCGCAGCUCACACAGCUCCACGACAGAGCAGUGACCAGCUCGUGAGCCAGCCGGAGCUGAGCUGCCCAAGCCUCGGCGGCUUCGGGCCCAGCCAUGAAGUGUUUCGGAGCCAAAAAUAACACCUAUCACUGCAAAAUAAUCCUACUGGACGAUCAGGAGCUCAUACAGGAGAUACAGGACACGACGCUCGGCCAGGAGCUGCUGGAUAAUGUGUUUCGUCACCUGAACCUGCUGGAGACGGCCUACUUCGGCCUGCGGUUCCUCCACUCCUCCAACCAGCCG